rnacentral:rRNA from 1 species
GACGAACGCUGGCGGCGUGCUUAACACAUGCAAGUCGAACGAAGAGCGAUGGAAGCUUGCUUCUAUCAAUCUUAGUGGCGAACGGGUGAGUAACGCGUAAUCAACCUGCCCUUCAGAGGGGGACAACAGUUGGAAACGACUGCUAAUACCGCAUACGAUCUAAUCUCGGCAUCGAGGAUAGAUGAAAGGUGGCCUCUACAUGUAAGCUAUCACUGAAGGAGGGGAUUGCGUCUGAUUAGCUAGUUGGAGGGGUAACGGCCCACCAAGGCGAUGAUCAGUAGCCGGUCUGGGAGGAUGAACGGCCACAUUGGGACUGAGACACGGCCCAGACUCCUACGGGAGGCAGCAGUGGGGAAUCUUCCGCAAUGGACGAAAGGCUGACGGAGCAACGCCGCGUGAGUGAUGACGGCCUUCGGGUUGUAAAGCUCUGUUAAUCGGGACGAAAGGCCUUCUUGCGAAUAGUGAGAAGGAUUGACGGUACCGGAAUAGAAAGCCACGGCUAACUACGUG